GAUGAAGAACGUAGCGAAAUGCGAUAAGUAAUGCGAAUUGCAGAAUUCAGUGAGUCAUCGAAUCUUUGAACGCACAUUGCGCCCUGUGGUAUUCCGCAGGGCAUGCCUGUUCGAGCGUCAUUUCAACCCUCAAGCCUCGCUUGGUGUUGGGCCCUGUCCGCCGCGGCCGGCCCUAAAGAUAGUGGCGGCGCCGCCUGGCCCUCAGCGUAGUACAGCUCUCGCUCCAGGGUCCGGCGGCAGCCUGCCAGAACCCCCCAACUCUGUGGUUGACCUCGGAUCAGGUAGGGAUACCCGCUGAACUUAAGCAUAUCAAUAAGCGGGGA
rnacentral:misc_RNA from 1 species